rnacentral:lncRNA from 1 species
AGGAAAUAGCAUCCUUGUCCUUCCUGCAAGAAUGGAGGGGAAGAAAUUGGGAGCAAAUCAGGCUACAGUUCCUGGCAGGGAGCUUCUAAACCUUGGGAAUUCCCAGAGUGACAGGAAAGUCUUUGUUAUUCACGGUGGGCUACUUGGAUGACAGGCCAUAGAGAAUGACGACAAAUACAUGGAAGCAGAACCAUCCCAGCCAUCAGAACUUGAAGCAGACAGCAAGGCUGCCCACUGCCCACUGAUUUCAGCCAAGAUCAGCUGGUACUCACCUGACUCAAAGAUGCUUGAAGUGACUGUUCUCAUUCUGUGUUUUGAGAGAGUCUAUUGCACAACAAUUGCUGAUUGGCAUAGAUCCUGAACACUUAAAAAC